rnacentral:rRNA from 1 species
GAGUUUGAUCAUGGCUCAGAACGUACGCUGGCGGCACGCCUAACACAUGCAAGUCGAACGAAGUAGCAAUACUUAGUGGCAGACGGGUGAGUAACAUGUAGGUAUCUGCCCUUUGGCCUGGAAUAACACGAGGAAACUUGUGCUAAUACCGGAUAAGUCUUUACGGAGAAAGCUUUAUGCACCAUUGGAUGAGCCUGCACUUGAUUAGUUUGUUGGUGGGGUAAAAGCUUACCAAGGCAACGAUCAAUAGCUGAUUUGAGAGGAUGAUCAGCCACACUGGGACUGAGACACGGCCCAGACUCCUACGGGAGGCAGCAGUGGGGAAUCUUGCACAAUGGAGGAAGCUCUGAUGCAGCGAUGCCGCGUGAGUGAAGAAGGCCCUUGGGUUGUACAGCUCUUUCGUCGGGGAAGAAAAUGACUGUACCCGAAUAAGAAGGUCCGGCUAACUUCGUGCCAGCAGCCGCGGUAAUACGAAGGGACCUAGCGUAGUUCGGAAUUACUGGGCUUAAAGAGUUCGUAGGUGGUUGAAAAAGUUAGUGGUGAAAUCCCAGAGCUUAACUCUGGAACUGCCAUUAAAACUUUUCAGCUAGAGUAUGAUAGAGGAAAGCAGAAUUUCUAGUGUAGAGGUGAAAUUCGUAGAUAUUAGAAAGAAUACCAAUUGCGAAGGCAGCUUUCUGGAUCAUUACUGACACUGAGGAACGAAAGCAUGGGUAGCGAAGAGGAUUAGAUACCCUCGUAGUCCAUGCCGUAAACGAUGUGUGUUAGACGUUGGAAAUUUAUUUUCAGUGUCGCAGGGAAACCGAUAAACACACCGCCUGGGGAGUACGACCGCAAGGUUAAAACUCAAAUGAAUUGACGGGGACCCGCACAAGUAGUGGAGCAUGUGGUUUAAUUCGAAGAUACGCGCAGAACCUUACCAACACUUGACAUGUUCGUCGCGACUCUAAGAGAUUAGAGUUUUCGGUUCGGCCGGACGAAACACAGGUGCUGCAUGGCUGUCGUCAGCUCGUGUCGUGAGAUGUUGGGUUAAGUCCCGCAACGAGCGCAACCCUCACUUUUAGUUGCCAUCAUUAAGUUGGGCACUCUGAAAGAACUGCCAGUGAUAAGCUGGAGGAAGGUGGGGAUGACGUCAAGUCCUCAUGGCCCUUACGUGUUGGGCUACACACGUGCUACAAUGGUAUCUACAACAGGAAGCAAGACUGCGAAGUUAAGCAAAUCCCUAAAAGAUACCUCAGUUCGGAUUGCACUCUGCAACUCGAGUGCAUGAAGCUGGAAUUACUAGUAAUCGUGGAUCAGCGUGCCACGGUGAAUGCGUUCCCGGGUCUUGUACACACCGCCCGUCACACCAUGGGAGUUGGUUCUACCUUAAGGCAAGGUUUCAAACCCUUGACCACGGUAUAGUCAGCGACUGGGGUGAAGUCGUAACAAGGUAACC